rnacentral:rRNA from 1 species
CCUACGGGUGGCAGCAGUGGGGGAUAUUGGACAAUGGGGGAAACCCUGAUCCAGCGACGCCGCGUGAGUGAAGAAGUAUUUCGGUAUGUAAAGCUCUAUCAGCAGGGAAGAAAGAAACGAUGGUACCUGAGUAAGAAGCCCCUGCGAACUACGUGCCAGCAGCCGUGGUAAUACGUAGGGGGGAAGCGUUAUCCGGAAGUACUGGGUGUAAAGGGAGCGUAGACGGGAGAGCAAGUCUGGAGUGAAAGGCGGGGGCCCAACCCCCGGACUGCUCUGGAAACGGUGUAACUGGAGUACAGGAGAGGCAGGCGGAAUGCCUGGUGUAGCGGUAAAAUGCGUAGAUAUUAAGAGGAACACCAGUGGCGAAGGCGACCUGCUAGACUAUAACUGACGUUGAGGCGCGAAAGCGUGGGGAGCAAACAGGAUUAGAUACCCGAGUAGUC